AUCACCUUGUGAGUUGAUAAUGUGUCUCACUCUUCUGUGUGUCUCGUUCACUUACAGCCAUGGCAGCUGCUACGGAGAAUGACACCAGAGCGCCCUCUAGGGACCAGUCCUAGAAAUGCACCAGAGGACGUAGGUGAGACUGAGUGACGGAACGAUUUGUGUUGGAAAAUCCUCAGCAAGAAAUCUGCAUUACUAAUGCUUGCUCUCUGUCUCCCUCUUGUCUGCAUUUGGGGGUGGCAGCGUAGCCUAGUGGUUAGAGUGUUGGACUAGUAACUGAAAGGUUGCAAGAUCGAAUCCCUGAGUUGACAAGUUUGAAGAAGCUGGGCUUCCUGAAGCCACAGGCAAAGAGAUUGACAUGCUUCUGGAGUACCAGGACCAAUUCCAUGAUGUGUGUGUGUGUGUGUGUGUGUGUGUGUGUGUGUGUGUGUGUGUGUGUGUAUGUCCAGUCUGAAGGUGUCAGUGAUGCGGGGGGGACUGCUGGACGAGGAGACAGGCCAACCCGUGGAGGUGAAGUUAGAGGCCGUUGCCCUAGAGAUGACCCCCCCCCCCUCCUCAGGUGGCCAAGCCCUCUGCCCCAGAUGCCUCCGAGAGAGAGGGGGAGUCAGGGCGUCAGUCCGAGAGGAGCACGGAGAAAGCACUGGAAAGCUACUGUGGAGAGGUGUGUGUGUUCACGCUGUUCUGUGUUUGACUCAUGAGGAACUACGAAUCCAACUAUCCACAUGAAUUUCAAGAUAUUUGGGUACUAUAUUUUCUGCUGCCAAAUGUGUGUGGUUAUGUACAGUCACAGUAUGUACAGUCACAGUAUAUACAGUCACAGAACAGCCUCCCCAGACUUAUCUAUCUGUAAUUUCAUCUGCUCAUCACCUCUCUUUAUACCUCUCUCCUUCCCUCUCUCUCCUUCCCUCUCUCUCAUCCCUCUCUCCAUCCCCCUCUCCUUGGUAGGACUCAAGUGUUCCACUACUUCACUGAGAGCGAAGAGAUUAGUGAUUACUUCUAAGAAGGAAGGGAGGAUACAUUACAAGUGUUGUAACAGGACAGUCCCUGUUCUCAUUGCUUUGUCUGUGCCUCUUCUUUAGCCUCAGGUGUUGAUAAACCUCCCUACCAAGAAACUCCUCUCUACCGCACCCCCUCUGCCUGUGAGUAUUAUAGCUCCUCUCUACAGCGCCCCCUCUGCCUGUGAGUAUUAUAGCUCCUCUCUACAGCGCCCCCUCUGCCUGUGAGUAUUAAAGCUCCUCUCUACAGCGCCCCCUCUGCCUGUGAGUAUUAUAGCUCCUCUCUACAGCACCCCCUCUGGCUGUGAGUAUUAUAGCUCCUCUCUACAGCGCACCCUCUGGCUGUGAGUAUUAUAGCUCCUCUCUACAGCACCCCCUCUGGCUGUGAGUAUUAUAGCUCCUCUCUACAGCGCCCCCUCUGGCUGUGAGUAUUAUAGCUCCUCUCUACAGCACCCCCUCUGGCUGUGAGUAUUAUAGCUCCUCUCUACAGCACCCCCUCUGCCUGUGAGUAUUAUAGCUCCUCUCUACAGCGCCCCCUCUGCCUGUGAGUAUUAUAGCUCCUCUCUACAGCGCCCCCUCUGGCUGUGAGUAUUAUAGCUCCUCUCUACAGCACCCCCUCUGCCUGUGAGUAUUAUAGCUCCUCUCUACAGCGCCCCCUCUGGCUGUGAGUAUUAUAGCUCCUCUCUACAGCACCCCCUCUGGCUGUGAGUAUUACAGCUCCUGUCUACAGCGCCCCCUCUGUCUGUGAGUAUUAUAGCUCCUCUCUACAGCGCCCCCUCUGGCUGUGAGUAUUAUAGCUCCUCUCUACAGCGCCCCCUCUGGCUGUGAGUAUUAUAGCUCCUCUCUACAGCACCCCCUCUGGCUGUGAGUAUUAUAGCUCCUCUCUACAGCGCCCCCUCUGGCUGUGAGUAUUAUAGCUCCUCUCUACAGCACCCCCUCUGGCUGUGAGUAUUAUAGCUCCUCUCUACAGCGCCCCCUCUGGCUGUGAGUAUUAUAGCUCCUCUCUACAGCACCUCCUCUGGCUGUGAGUAUUAUAGCUCCUCUCUACAGCGCCCCCUCUGGCUGUGAGUAUUAUAGCUCCUCUCUACAGCACCCCCUCUGCCUGUGAGUAUUAUAGCUCCUCUCUACAGCGCCCCCUCUGCCUGUGAGUAUUAUAGCUCCUCUCUACAGCGCCCCCUCUGGCUGUGAGUAUUAUAGCUUCUCUCUACAGCACCCCUUCUGGCUGUGAGUAUUAUAGCUCCUCUCUACAGCACCCCCUCUGCCUGUGAGUAUUAUAGCUCCUCUCUACAGCGCACCCUCUGCCUGUGAGUAUUAUAGCUCCUCUCUACAGCACCCCUCUCUGGCUGUGAGUAUUAUAGCUCCUCUCUACAGCACCCCCUCUGCCUGUGAGUAUUAUAGCUCCUCUCUACAGCGCCCCCUCUGCCUGUGAGUAUUAUAGCUCCUCUCUACCGCGCCCCCUCUGCCUGUGAGUAUUAUAGCUCCUCUCUACAGCACCCCCUCUGGCUGUGAGUAUUAUAGCUCCUCUCUACAGCACCCCCUCUGCCUGUGAGUAUUAUAGCUCCUCUCUACAGCACCCCCUAUGGCUGUGAGUAUUAUAGCUCCUCUCUACAGCACCCCCUCUGGCUGUGAGUAUUAUAGCUCCUCUGCAGAUAGUAGUAAUACUGUAAUAUGCUUUAAUUCUAAGCAGCUCAUAGUUCUUAUAUCGAAGUAUUGUAUGUGUGCUCCACGUGGGAAUCAAACCCAUAACCCUGAUGUUGUCAGCACCGUGCUCCACAUGGGAAUCAAACCCAUAACCCUGAUGUUGUCAGCACCGUGCUCCACAUGGGAAUCAAACCCAUAACCCUGAUGUUGUCAGCACCGUGCUCCACAUGGGAAUCAAACCCAUAACCCUGAUGUUGUCAGCACCGUGCUCCAUGUCCCAAACCCAUAACCCUGAUGUUGUCAGCACCGUGCUCCAUCUGGGAAUCAAACCCAUAACCCUGAUGUUGUCAGCACCGUGCUCCAUCUGGGAAUCAAACCCAUAACCCUGAUGUUGUCAGCACCGUGCUCCAUGUCCCAAACCCAUAACCCUGAUGUUGUCAGCACCGUGCUCCAUCUGGGAAUCAAACCCAUAACCCUGAUGUUGUCAGCACCGUGCUCCAUGUCCCAAACCCAUAACCCUGAUGUUGUCAGCACCGUGCUCCAUCUGGGAAUCAAACCCAUAACCCUGAUGUUGUCAGCACCGUGCUCCAUGUCCCAAACCCAUAACCCUGAUGUUGUCAGCACCGUGCUCCAACCAACUGAGCCACCUCAGAACUGCCACACCGUGAGCAUGAUGAAGAUAUCACAGUGAGUCUUUUUUCUAACUCUUUGCCCCAACGCAGCUCUCCUGUGCCCUGACCUCUUGUCGCUACAGAAACAGUGCGCUGCCCUCACAAUACUCACUCGCUCCGGGAGAGACGCAAAGGGGAGGAGACGGAGGAGGAGGGAAGCUCCGAGCUGGACAGAGAGAUGAAGAGGGACUCUGGCAUGCAAGAGUCUCCUAUGGAAGAAGCCCCAGUGCCUGUGGAGGCUAUAGUGGAGGAACAUGUGGCUCUACCAGACAGAGAACAGGAGACCGACUAGAGAGGUCACUGCUGAGGGGCUGUUGAGAUAAGGUGUUUAUAAUUACCCCUCUAGUCACUGAAUUACUAUCUGCUCUAUAUCUAUCUCUCACCCAUUACUGUACUGCUCCAUCUAUUCUAUUUCUAUCUCUCACCCAUUACUGUACUGCUCCAUCUAUUCUAUAUCUAUCUCUCACCCAUUACUGUACUGCUCCAUCUAUUCUAUAUCUAUCUCUCACCCAUUACUGUACUGCUCCAUCUAUUCUAUAUCUAUCUCUCACCCAUUACUGUACUGCUCCAUCUAUUCUAUAUCUAUCUCUCACCCAUUACUGUACUGCUCCAUCUAUCCCUCACCCAUUACUGUACUGCUCCAUCUAUUCUAUUUCUAUCUCUCACCCAUUACUGUACUGCUCCAUCUA